rnacentral:misc_RNA from 1 species
GAUGAAGAACGCAGCGAAAUGCGAUAAGUAAUGUGAAUUGCAGAAUUCAGUGAAUCAUCGAAUCUUUGAACGCACCUUGCACCCUUUGGCAUUCCGAAGGGUAUGCUCGUUUGAGUGUCAUUGUACUCUCACACUUCCGAUCUUUGGAUUGGGAGCGGUGGACUUGGGUGUUGCUGCUUACUGUGGCUCACCUCAAAUCGAUUCGUGCACCUCUUGGUUGGACAUAGUACGGCGUGAUAAGUGUCUUCGCCGGCACCUCAGUAGAGGGUGGCUGAUCGGGAGCUCUGCUUCAAACCGUCCUCGGACAAAAACUGACAACUUGACCUCAAAUCGAGUAGGACUACCCGCUGAACUUAAGCAUAUCAAUAAGCGGAGGA